CAGCAGCCGCGGUAAUACGUAGGGUGCGAGCGUUAAUCGGAAUUACUGGGCGUAAAGCGUGCGCAGGCGGUCUUGAAAGUCAGAUGUGAAAGCCCCGGGCUCAACCUGGGAACUGCGUUUGAAACUCCAAGACUAGAGUAUGGCAGAGGGGGGUAGAAUUCCACGUGUAGCAGUGAAAUGCGUAGAGAUGUGGAGGAAUACCGAUGGCGAAGGCAGCCCCCUGGGUCGCCACUGACGCUCAUGCACGAAAGCGUGGGGAGCAAACAGGAUUAGAUACCCUGGUAGUCCACGCCCUAAACGAUGCCGACUAGGUGUUGGGGAAGGAGACUUCCUUAGUACCGUAGCUAACGCGUGAAGUCGGCCGCCUGGGGAGUACGGUCGCAAGAUUAAAACUCAAAGGAAUUGACGG
rnacentral:rRNA from 1 species